GGGCCCGCACAAGCGGUGGAGCAUGUGGUUUAAUUCGAUGAUACGCGAGGAACCUUACCAGGGCUUAAAUGCAGAAUGACAGAUUGGGAAACCAGUCCUUCUUCGGACAUUUUGCAAGGUGCUGCAUGGUUGUCGUCAGCUCGUGCCGUGAGGUGUCAGGUUAAGUCCUAUAACGAGCGCAACCCCUAUCAUUAGUUGCCAGCGGGUAAUGCCGGGAACUCUAAUGAGACUGCCAGCGCAAGCUGCGAGGAAGGUGGGGAUGACGUCAAAUCAUCACGGCCCUUACGUCCUGGCUACACACGUGCUACAAUGGUUGGGACAAUGGGCAGCCACACCGCAAGGUGGAGCG
rnacentral:rRNA from 1 species